rnacentral:rRNA from 1 species
UAACGCGUAUGUAACUUGCCUUAUGCAGGAGGAUAACCCGAAGAAAUUCGGCCUAAUACUCCAUAAGUGUCAGAGAGGCAUCUUUCGGGCAUGAAAGAUUUAUCGGCAUAAGAUAGACAUGCGUGACAUUAGCUAGUCGGUGAGGUAACGGCUCACCGAGGCGACGAUGUCUAGGGGUUCUGAGAGGAAGGUCCCCCACACUGGUACUGAGACACGGACCAGACUCCUACGGGAGGCAGCAGUGAGGAAUAUUGGUCAAUGGACGGAAGUCUGAACCAGCCAUGCCGCGUGCAGGAUGACGGCUCUAUGAGUUGUAAACUGCUUUUGUACGAGAAUAAUAGUNCUUACNUGUAGGGAUUUGAAUGUAUCGUACGAAUAAGGAUCGGCUAACUCCGUGCCAGCAGCCGCGGUAAUACGGAGGAUUCGAGCGUUAUCCGGAUUUAUUGGGUUUAAAGGGUGCGUAGGCUGUCGGAUAAGUUAGAGGUCAAAUGUCGGGGCUUAACCCCGUGCCUGCCUCUGAUACUGUUCNACUGGAGAGCGGAUGCAGCAGGCGGAAUGAGUAGUGUAGCGGUGAAAUGCUUAGAUAUUACUCAGAACACCGAUUGCGCAGGCAGCUUGCUAAUCCGCAUCUGACGCUGAUGCACGAAAGCGUGGGUAGCGAACAGGAUUAGAUACCCUGGUAGUCCACGCAGUAAACGAUGAUAACUCNUUGU